rnacentral:lncRNA from 1 species
AACAAUUUUUUUCUCCAUCUGAUCACUGUGGGUUGUAAAUUGAUAUAAUAUAUAUAUAUAUAUAUAUAUAUAUAUAUAUAUAUAUAUCGGUCAGUAUAAUCCGCAGACUGCAGACCAAGUACAAAAUGCAGAAUAGGUAUAAAUUGCAGACUGAAAUUGCAGACUUGGUAUAAAAUGCAGACUGUGAAAAAAACGUAUAAAGGCCUAUAAAACUACACAUUACACCCGUUUUCAAAAUUAUGCGACUUACCAAAAUAUAAUCUAAGACUCAAAUGUCAGUUUUAUGUCACGAGCAGGGUCUUAGCUAGGAUUUUAGAUCUUGGGCGUGUUUCUAAUGACCAGGGUGUGCACAUGUCAAUUACCUUGAAUAACCAAAUUCACGGUUCUAGUUACGCUCGCCAAUAACAGACAAUGCCUGUGGUUGUUCUAUGCUUUGCAACCAAAUACAAGGCGAGCAUACGCUCAUAUUGCGCAGUGACAUUAAAAUAUUAAGUUAUUUUAGCAACUCUUGGGGGUAUUUAAAACCAUUUUAACACCAUACAGUUCCCAUUAUCCAUCAAAACAUUAAAACAUCACGGAUCACUUUUGCCAAUUCCAACAACAACAGUAGAUUUUACAAGCUUUCUUACGACGUAAAUUGGAAGAAAUUCUGUCUGUUGUAAGUACUGUUGCACCUUAUUUUAUGAACCUACACGCGGCCUUAUAUAAAUAAUGAAGCCGCGUUCAUUUUAUCUAGCCAUGUUUUUCCACUUUUGGCCGCGAUAACACGGCCAACACGGCCCUCUAGCUAAGACCCUGGUCACGAGAGUUGUGAGAACUGCUAAUUGCUAAAUAUAGCAAAUGUAAGCAAAAUUAAGACAUUUUAAACCGUAUUUAAUACCUAACGAGUAAAGAAGAAUAUUGAACUAAAAUGAGCCAGAUACACAAACUAAAAGAAACAACAAACCAUGUCACAAAAAUAAAUUUGUGUAGUGUAUGACUUUUAUAAGUUUGAGAAAGAACAAUUUAUCCUCGAAUUUUAUUAAAAGACAAUUGUGUACUAAACCCGCUUACGCCUGACUAUAGCAGUAAUAUUAUGAUUUUGUUGUGCUUAAAUUUUGCAAUAAUUUUCACUAAAUAUUUUGAAAAUCGCUCUAAACCUUUUUAUAUGAAGCAUACAAAGCUUAUAUACAUUAACAUGCAUCGACAAUGAACCGCAAACUCGAAGUUGUAAAUAAUUUGAACUUCGUGACAGUAUGACAUAUUAAAAUAUAUGUUUUUUCACAGUCUGCAUUUUAUACCAAGUCUGCAAUUUCAGUCUGCAAUUUAUACCUAUUCUGCAUUUUGUACUUGGUCUGCAGUCUGCAGUCUGCAGAUUAUACUGACCGAUAUGCAGAUUAUACUGACCGAGAUUAUACUAGGCGAUUCGCCUGAAGAUCGCUUCGAAAGAAGCGUGAAACACAGUGUAGCGACAAAUAUAUUUUAAGAUUAAAGAAUUAUUUAAGCUCUAUCGUAUAUUGGUAUUGAGCACUCUUCGUUCAAUUACGGACAACAAGAAUUAAUUAUAUAUAUAUAUAUAUACAUAUAUAUAUAUAUAAAUAUAUAUAUAUAUAUAUAUAUAUAUAUAUAU